GUGUAAGUACUAGCCAACUAAUAAAAUGGUGAAACCGCGAAAAGCUCAUUAAAUCGGCUUUGGUUUAUUAGAUAGUAUGUAGAUUGAAGUUUUUCGUUGCUCAUAUGCACACGAAAAGUGAAUAUCUAAAAUGGAUAACUGUGGUAAUUCUAGAGCUAAUACAUGAAAUUUAAUGGUGCGAACGUUCGAUACGACUGUCUGCAAAUGACCGUCUGUCGAUCAAUGUUGCACGCUUUUAUUAGAGGAAAAAGCCAAUUUUAUCGACCGGGUUUACGGUGUCAUUGGGCACUUGAGUGAAAAUCUCAUGUGCCCGUGACCCGUUUACCAAUUCAAAUGUGUCGAGAGAGCACCUGUUUGUGUGCCGUCGUGCAUUUCGUGCACGACGUUCUUAAAGCUGGUGUUGAAUCUGAAUAACUUGAACGAAUUCGUUCCGCUUAGGCGAACAAUCGGCUCGGACGCGCUUGCGCGUGUGUGUGCCGUUGUUCGUGUCGGCGGGACGGAUUUAAAGCAGACCGCAGUUAAUGGUGAUUGUCGUCGGCUAUCUAAGUGUGACGACGGGAGCCUUUGCGGCGUAUCUUUCAAUUGUCUGCCUUAUCAACUUUCGAUGGUAGAUUACAUGCCUACCAUGGUUGUAACGGGUAACGGGGAAUCAGGGUUCGAUUCCGGAGAGGGAGCCUUAGAAACAGCUACCACAUCUAAGGAAGGCAGCAGGCACGCAAAUUACCCACUCCCAGCACGGGGAGGUAGUGACGAUAAAUAACGAUCCGGGACUCUUUAGAGUUUCCGUAAUCGGAAUGAGUACAGUUUAGGUCCUUUAACGAGGAACAAGUGGAGGGCAAGUCUGGUGCCAGCAGCCGCGGUAAUUCCAGCUCCAUUAGUAUAUAUUAAAGUUGUUGCGUUUAAAAAGCUCGUAGUUGAAUCUGUAUCCCAUACUGUCAAUCGUUCGUAAUUUAAUUUGCGUGGUUUGACAUUUUUUGUAUGGGAUAUGCACGCUGGCGGGUUACCGGUACGUGUCGGUAAGCCGUGUACAAUAAAACGGCACACUGCGUUGCCUUUGCGCAAGUGCACGUUGCGCACUUUGCGUGUGAACGGAUGCUUGCGCAUUGUACGGCAACGUGUGUGCCGUGUGCGCACACCGAUCGUCAGUGUCCCGAUGCGACGGAUUCGAUUAGCUUCGAACUCGUAUCGCAUUCUGAUCGAAACUCGUGCCCGAUCGUCUCGUGUGCCGCUUCGUUGUGUGCACACGUGACCGUGCACAAAACUCUGUCAGGCCAGCGAUAUUACUUUGAACAAAUUAGAGUGCUCAAAGCAGGCAAAUUUAUAUGCCUUGAAUAUCGCAGCAUGGAAUAAUAGAAUAUGAUCUCGGUUCCGUUUUCGUUUGAAAUUGGCUUAAAGGGCUAGAUAAAACCGGAAACGGUGUUCGGAUGCUCGGGCACGGUACCGGGCACAUCGACGCCUAGUGUGCACUCCGUCGGACGCAUAACGGAACGCGUGUGCAAUUCGUAUCUACGUACGCCUAGUGCUGCGAAUACGAGCGCUCGCGUGCCGGUCCGAAUGCGAGCACCGGCGUCACUAAAAUGGUGUGCAUCGUUUAGUAUCGUGUGUGCCCGAUGCAACUCGAAUUAUUUAGCUCGACGGUAUAU
rnacentral:rRNA from 1 species